rnacentral:lncRNA from 1 species
AUCAGAGUUAUCGAACUUUUUCAUCAACCCAUGUGAUGACAAACUAUCUCGGACAAUUUAUCUUGGAAUUUCCAUAAGCUUUGGCUGACCACAAUGUAAGAACCUUUUUAUUUACUAUAAUAUGAGUUUAUAAUACUGUUCAAGUAAUUUUUGAUACAAGUUUAAUGAUUAUUUUCUCGCAUUUUGCAAUGUUUAUGUCGUUGUAUGGUAUGUCGGUUUGACAAUCAAAAUACAUUGUUUUGUAAACAAUACUUACCUGGUAUGAUACUUACGUGGUUAAUACUUACCUUUUUCCCUUUUUGUAAUUCCCUAGACCUGAGAUUCCCAUUUUUUCGGGUUUUCAGUUGUUUAUUCUAUACCCCCUUUUUUCGUGUGAAAAAAUGUAUGGAACGCAUUUCGUGUCAUAUUUGUAAUUUAUUAUUUUUUGGUAAUUUCAUAUAACAACUCGAUACUGUUGUCAGGUCAUUAAAGAUUGCAUAUUUUGGAUUUAACAUUGAUUCACUGAUAGGGUCUUUGCAUCGGAACUAAACACAUUUAUUUCUAAAAAAAAAAAAAAAAAAAAAAAAAAAAAAAAACAGUUGUUGGCAUGACACGGGUUAUGUUCUUCCAUAUAUUUUAUGAUAGUAUGAUACUAAACCCCUAACGGGAGGGAUUGUACCUGAUAUUCAUAUGAUGAAGACAUAAUCUUUCAAUCAGUUUAAUUGAGGUCUGGAGCUGGCAUGUCAGUUAACUGCUAGUAGUCUGUUGUUAUUUAUGUAUUAUUGUCAUUUUAUUUAUUUUCUUUUGUUACAUCUUUUGACAUCAGACUCGGACUUCUCUUGAACUGAAUUUUAAUGUGCGUAUUGUUAUUCUUUUACUUUUCUACAUUGGCUAGAGUAUAGGGGGGAUGAGAUCUCAUAAACAUGUUUAACCCCGCCGCAAUUUUGCGCCUGUCCCAAGUCAGGAGCCUCUGCCUUUGUUAGUCUUGUAUGAUUUUAAAUUUAGUUUCUUGUGUAUAAUUCGGAGUUUAUUGACGUUUAUACUGUACUAUUAUGCAUAUUUAAUUACGGGUCAUUCUCGCUACAUGAAACAACUCGAUCGAUAUGGCUGUUAUGAUCAUGUUUUUGUAUUAUAUUUUGUAUUAACAUUUUUUAUAAGUAGUUUUUACUUUCUUUGUAGCUCUUCACCACUCUAUCUUGUUCAGUCUACAUUGAUGAAUAAAAUGGUUUAAACUGUCUGCAUUAGUUACAUUACUUAGUGGCAGAACAGUGAAGAGAUUCAAUACAGCAAUGAGUAACAUGGAUCCAUUAGAACAGAAGAAUGAUCAGA